rnacentral:lncRNA from 1 species
UCUAUCUAUCUAUCUAUCUAUAUGCAUGCACACACACAAUUGCUUUUGAAUAAAUGUGUGUACACAUACACAUACGCACUCAAACAUGCAUACAUAUACAAACAUAUACAAUUGCUUUAGAACGUGGGUGUAUGUAUAUACACUGAUACACACACCUAUGCACACACGUUCAAUAGUAUUGUUAAGUGAAACAUUAUCAUCACACAGUGAGUGAGUCCUUUGCUUGUUAAGUGAAGCCAUAUUUAUAUAUAUAUAUAUAUAUGUUAAGAUCCAUAUACAUUUUCAUAAAAGCAAUGAAUCUCUGUGUCACCAACAGAUGGACUUAAACAAGGGAAGUAAUCAGGUUAGCCAGUUACUUACAAAUACCAACAUUUAUGUUAUGUUAUGAAAUGAAAAAUAGUUUGUGUGCAGACAGGAGGAGUUCAAAUAGACUUGUCAUUAAAAAAAUUUUUUUUUUAUUAUUCAAGGAAAGGUCCUGCCCCAAAUGUCAGAACUAGCCUUUCCUAACCACAAAUGAACUUUGUUUUAAUUAUACAUUAUAUUCAUCAUUUAUUUUCUGGUACAAACAUCAUUAAUUUUGUCAGACUCUGUUUUUUUGUUUUUGUUUUUAAUUUGUUUUGUGUUUCUGAUGUCACAUAUAAACCCCUAGACCAGGAAUAAUUAUAAUAGGGUCAAAAUUAAAAGAGUGCCAAUGUCAUCUAGUGAACGAUAUUUCGACAUCUUGUGUGUCUUCAACAGGUCACUAGAUGACAAUGGCACUCUUCUUUUAAUUUUGACUCUAUAUCUUCUGGAGGAGUUACCUCAAUCCUUUAUAUAACAAUAAUAAUAAUUGUCAGUGUUUCAGACAAAAUGCUUAGUUGCAUUCCUUCUGCCUCUUUAUGUUUGUAGUUCAAUUGCCACUGAGAUUGAAUUUGCCUUCUAUGCUUUUGGGGUUGAUGAAAGAAGUACCAGUUGAAUACUGGGGUGGGGGAGAAAUGUAAUUGACUUGACCCCACUCCAAAAAUUUCAGACCUUCUGCCUAUAGUAGAAAGUAUUGUUAUUAUUAUAUAUAAAGGUGGCAGAAACAGUAGCAUGCCGGGCAAAAUGAAAUGCUUUGCGGUAUUUUGUCUGUCUUUCUGAAUUCAAAUUCCACCGAGGUCAACUUUGCCUUUCAUCCUUUUGAGGUCAAUGAAUUAAGUACCAGUUGAGUACUGGGGUCGAUGUAAUCGACUAUCCCUCUUCUCCAAAUUUUAGGCCUUGUGCUUACAGUAGAAAGGAUUUUAGGGUUGAUAUACUAAGUACCAGUUGCACACUGGGGUUCAUCUAAUUGACUGGCCCCCUUCCCCCAAAAUUUUGGGCCUUGUGCCUAGAGUAGAAAAGAUUAUUAUUAUUAUUAUUAUUAAAGCAGCAAGCUGGCAGAAACGUUAGCACACCAGGCGAAAUGCUUAGCGGUAUUUCGUCUGUCUUUACGUCCUGUGUUCAAAUUCUACCAAGGUCGACUUUGCCUUUCGUUAUUUUGGGGUCGAUAUACUAAGUACCAGUUGCACACUGGGGUCAAUCUAAUUGACUGACCCCCUCCCCCAAAAUUUAGGGCCUUGUGCCUAGAGUAGAAAAAAUUAUUAUUAUUAAAGCAGCAAGCUGGCAGAAACGUUAGCACGCCGGGUGAAAUGCUUAGUGGUAUUUCGUCUGUCUUUACGUUCUGAGUUCAAAUUCCGCUGAGGUUGACUUUACCUUUCAUCCUUCCGGGGUUGAUAAAAUAAGUGCCCUUGUGGCUAAAAUUUGAAAUCAUUAUUAUUAUUAUUAUUAUUAUUUCAGUCUAUUGAUUCCUAGGUAUCCUAUGUGAUGGUUUUACUUUGUUUUUUUUUACAUCAAGAAAACGGAAUUCAGAUAUUUGUGUCAUCACUGUUAAUUGUGCAACGAUAGGGCAAUGCAGACGAGUGAGGCAGUUGAAAGUUGAAUCGGUGGAGCAAUGGGCAAAUGCAUUGAAGUUACUCCUCUUUAACAUUGAUUUCAAGCCCUGCCAUAGCAACUUAGCCCUAUGUUUGAAGAACAGGAGGGUGGCGAGGGGGGCUUUGUAUCUAUCUUUUUCCCAAUCCUCAGAAGGUUUUUUUUUUGUUUGUGCCCAGAAAUUAUUUAUAUAGCAGAAAUGGUAAAGCAUCAGACAAAAUGCCUUGCAGUAUUUCUUCCAGCUCUUACAUCCUGGGUUCAAACCCUGCCAAGGUCAGCUUUGCUUUUAUCCCUCCAUGGUCAAAUAAAAUAAAAAUAACCAAUUUAGUAAUGGGGAACAAUUUAAUUGACUAACUCUUCCUUGUCCCUAAAAUUUCUGGUUUUGUGCCUAUAUUAGAAAGAUUUCUUAUUCUAUCUAAGGAUAAGGUGACUCGUGUUCUGAGUUCAGAUUCUGCUGAGGUCAACUUUGCCUUUCAUCCUUCUGGGGUCAGUAAAAAUAAGUACCUGUUGGACACUGGGGUCGAUGUAAUUGACUGACCCUUCCUCUUACAAUUGCUGGCCUUGUGCCAAAAUUUUAAAUAAUUAUUUUACCUAUGGGUUAAUUAUCUGUAAUAUUAAUUAAUCAAGCAAUUAUCAAUUCAGUUUGGGAAGCUUAGAACAGGAAACAACCUCCAAGACCUAGUCCAUCUUUCCACACAUUGAGACAUUGGAAGGGUAAUUGUCCUUUCUGUCUUUUGAAGACGGUGUUUUUAUUAUUUUUGUUGUAUAUUAUAUAUUUGUUAUUUUUGUUAUUGAAAAAAUAUCACCAAUUUGUGAAUUCAUAGAAACAAAGUGACUGUUUAUUUUUUAUUUUAUUUUUCAUUUCUGAAAAGACAAUGAAUGAAUGUAGUAAAGUAAAAGACAAGCGCAACUUUAUGGU